ACAAACUAUUCAAUAAAAACAGUCGCUACGUCCGAACUCGACGUUACAUCCAAAGUCGCUAUAGCCAUAUGUUUGUACAUACUAUAGUAUGCUUUAAUUCAAGGGACUUAGAUUUAACGUCGCUAUAGACGAAUGGUCGCUACAACCAAGGUCGUAAUAAAUGAAAUCCACUGUAUAAGUAUGUUGCGAUUUCAUAAGAU